UGAGGAAUAUUGCGCAAUGGACGAAAGUCUGACGCAGCAACGCCGCGUGCGGGAUGAAGGGGCUAUGCCUUGUAAACCGCUGUAGCCUGGGAAGAAAACGGCCCUCGGGGCCCGGGACUGUACCAGGAAAGUAAGCAUCGGCUAACUACGUGCCAGCAGCCGCGGUAAUACGUAGGAUGCAAGCGUUGUCCGGAUUUACUGGGUGUAAAGGGUGCGCAGGCGGAGAAGUAAGUCAGAGGUGAAAGCCUACAGCUCAACUGUAGAACUGCCUUUGAUACUGCUUCCCUUGAGUAUGGUAGAGGUCGGCGGAAUUCCCGGUGUAGCAGUGAAAUGCGUAGAUAUCGGGAGGAACACCAGUGGCGAAGGCGGCCGGCUGGACCAUAACUGACGCUCAUGCACG
rnacentral:rRNA from 1 species